AGCUUGCUGGGCGGAUUAGUGGCGAACGGGUGAGUAAUACGUGAGUAACCUGCCCUUGACUCUGGGAUAAGCCUGGGAAACUGGGUCUAAUACUGGAUACUACCUCUUACCGCAUGGUGGGUGGUGGAAAGGGUUUUACUGGUUUUGGAUGGGCUCACGGCCUAUCAGCUUGUUGGUGGGGUAAUGGCUCACCAAGGCGACGACGGGUAGCCGGCCUGAGAGGGUGACCGGCCACACUGGGACUGAGACACGGCCCAGACUCCUACGGGAGGCAGCAGUGGGGAAUAUUGCACAAUGGGCGGAAGCCUGAUGCAGCGACGCCGCGUGAGGGAUGACGGCCUUCGGGUUGUAAACCUCUUUCAGUAGGGAAGAAGCGAGAGUGACGGUACCUGCAGAAGAAGCGCCGGCUAACUACGUGCCAGCAGCCGCGGUAAUACGUAGGGCGCAAGCGUUGUCCGGAAUUAUUGGGCGUAAAGAGCUCGUAGGCGGUUUGUCGCGUCUGCUGUGAAAGCCCGGGGCUCAACCCCGGGUCUGCAGUGGGUACGGGCAGACUAGAGUGCAGUAGGGGAGACUGGAAUUCCUGGUGUAGCGGUGAAAUGCGCAGAUAUCAGGAGGAACACCGAUGGCGAAGGCAGGUCUCUGGGCUGUUACUGACGCUGAGGAGCGAAAGCAUGGGGAGCGAACAGGAUUAGAUACCCUGGUAGUCCAUGCCGUAAACGUUGGGCACUAGGUGUGGGGGACAUUCCACGUUUUCCGCGCCGUAGCUAACGCAUUAAGUGCCCCGCCUGGGGAGUACGGCCGCAAGGCUAAAACUCAAAGGAAUUGACGGGGGCCCGCACAAGCGGCGGAGCAUGCGGAUUAAUUCGAUGCAACGCGAAGAACCUUACCAAGGCUUGACAUUCACCGGACCGCCCCAGAGAUGGGGUUUCCCUUCGGGGCUGGUGGACAGGUGGUGCAUGGUUGUCGUCAGCUCGUGUCGUGAGAUGUUGGGUUAAGUCCCGCAACGAGCGCAACCCUCGUUCUAUGUUGCCAGCACGUGAUGGUGGGGACUCAUAGGAGACUGCCGGGGUCAACUCGGAGGAAGGUGGGGAUGACGUCAAAUCAUCAUGCCCCUUAUGUCUUGGGCUUCACGCAUGCUACAAUGGCCGGUACAAAGGGUUGCGAUACUGUGAGGUGGAGCUAAUCCCAAAAAGCCGGUCUCAGUUCGGAUUGAGGUCUGCAACUCGACCUCAUGAAGUCGGAGUCGCUAGUAAUCGCAGAUCAGCAACGCUGCGGUGAAUACGUUCCCGGGCCUUGUACACACCGCCCGUCAAGUCACGAAAGUUGGUAACACCCGAAGCCGGUGGCCUAACCCCUUGUGGGAGGGAGCCGUCGA
rnacentral:rRNA from 1 species